rnacentral:rRNA from 1 species
GACGAACGCUGGCGGCGUGCUUAACACAUGCAAGUCGAACGGAAAGGCCCUGCUUUUGUUGGUUUCUCGAUUGGCGAACGGGUGAGUAACACGUGAGUAACCUGCCCUUGUCUUUGGGAUAACUUCAGGAAACUGGGGCUCAUACCGGAUAUGAGCUCCUGCUGCAUGUUGGGGGUUGGAAAGUUUCGGCGGUUGGGGCUGGACUCGCGGCUUAUCAGCUUGUUGGUGGGGUAGUGGCUUACCAAGGCUUUGACGGGUAGCCGGCCUGAGAGGGUGAACGGCGACAAUGGGACUGAGAGACGGACCAGACUGCUACGGGAGGCAGCAGUGGGGAAUAUUGCACAAUGGGCGGAAGCGUGAGGCAGAAGCGCCGCGUGCGGGAUGACGGCCUUCGGGUUGUAAACAGAUUUCGCAUGUGACGAAGAGUGAGUGACGGUAAUGGGUAAAGAAGCACCGGCUAACUACGUG